GCCUGGGUGGCUCAGUCGGUUGAGCGUCUGACUUCAGCUCAGGUCACGAUCUCACAGUUCGUGAGUUCGAGCCCCGCGUCGGGCU
rnacentral:tRNA from 1 species